GAGAGUUUGCAGAGGCCUGAAAGAGGCGAUAAAAAUCAAUUGUCGCGUGAUCCGGGUGAACGAUAGGUACGCUCGUUCUUGUAUGGGUCCGUGACUAUAAGGUUUUCCGGGCAUCUCGACGCUAAAAUAGCAAGAAAGCGACCCGUUCUCGAUUGAUAAUAAAUAGAGUCACAUUCAUGCUUGGCGAUGGUUGACUGGAAGAAGAGGAGUGGCUGAAGCGUGCCAGGCCUCCUGGAAAGAAGAUCCCGACGCGCAGCGCAGGAAACUCAGCUUUCCGUGUUUUCUUCGUUGCUGAUGCGUUCGAUGCCUUUCAUCGUCAACGAGGGUUACCGGUGAUCGGGGCAUCGGAGAUAUUUGAGUGGACCCGAAGGAGGACUUAUCCUUUAGAGACCCCUGACGUAUCAAAGUUGAAGAGCAAGGUUCAGAAAUUGCAGAACGAGGAUCGUCGCACGCGUUAGCAGACGGUCGCUAUCGAGUCGUUUGACGGCGAGAGUGGAGAGCGAAAACGAAGCCAUCGAACAAUUACGCGCCCAAUUCAACGAAUGAUUGCAACGAAUGAUGACACUGCAAUCGACGGUUUCUCACAGUUCGUCCAGUGUUCCGUCAGGGCCGUGGAAAGUUCGCGCGAGCAUAAAAUCUCGAUCGGGGAUCGCAGAGUUUCCACGCUAGGGGAAGGGUUUUCGCGGUGCUAGAAUUUAAUGGCCGUGGCAGAAGUUCCGCUUAACGAGAUGGAGUGAGCCCGAAAGAUAAAUCGGACCUGGCGCUUUUAU